GAUCCAUACAGUUUUGAACCUGAAGCUACAAACAGAGUCACUGACAACCAGCAAAGGAGAUCGUUGACGGGAAACAGGCAGCAGAUUCAGUCAUGGGCAGCUGAAAACAUCUGGAGGAUUAAUCAAACAGCAUGGUGUUUAUGUGGACACUGUCAGCCCAUGAGCAGUGCGGAGGAGAGCAUAUGCUGCAGGGAGAUUCCUGCAAUUUGGAGCCUCGUCGAAGACCUCCAUCCACAACCCGAAGGCAUUACUUGUGUGGGACAGCAUCCUGGGUUCUCUGCAUGCAUGACCUGUAACACAUACAAGACAUGUCUUCCUAUUCUGUAAAUUGUAAUAAUAAAUAAAAUAUUUUGCUUCCA